CCUACGGGAGACAGCAGUGGGGAAUAUUGCACAAUGGGCGAAACCCUGAUGCAGCGACGCCGCGUGAAGGAAGAAGUAUUUCGGUAUGUAAACUUCUAUCAGCAGGGAAGAAAAUGACGGUACCUGACUAAUAAGCCCCGUCUAACUACGUUCCAGCAGCCGCGGGAAUACGUAGGUGGCAGCCGUUAUCCGGAUUUAAUGGGUGGAAAGGGAGUGCAGGCGGUUUAGCAAGUCAGAAGGGAAAGCCCGGGGCUCAACUCCGGGACUGCUUUUGAAACUGUUGAACUAGAUUGCAGGAGAGGUAAGUGGAAUUCCUAGUGUAGCGGUGAAAUGCGUAGAUAUAAGGAGGAACACCAGUGGCGAAGGCGGCUUACUGGACUGUAAAUGACGCUGAGGCUCGAAAGCGUGGGGAGCAAACAGGAUUAGAUACCCGAGUAGUC
rnacentral:rRNA from 1 species